rnacentral:rRNA from 1 species
UACGUAGGGGGCGAGCGUUGUCCGGAGUUACUGGGCGUAAAGCGCACGCAGGCGGUCUGCUAAGUUUGGAGUGACAGUUGGUGGCUUAACUGCCAAAGUGCUUCGAAAACUGACAGACUUGAGGGCUUCAGAGGGACACGGAAUUCCGGGUGGAGUGGUGAAAUGCGUAGAGAUCCGGAGGAACACCAAAGGCGAAGGCAGUGUCCUGGGGAGGACCUGACGCUCAGGUGCGAAAGCCAGGGGAGCGAACGGG